ensembl:lncRNA
CCGAACCCCCCACUGACACCACCGAACCCUCCUCUGACACCACCGAACCCUCCUCGUUGUUCGUUUAGCUGAGCAGCACACGGCCAUGAACACUGAGCCAUCAUAGACAGUACGCUUGCCUGGAUCACAUUCAUGACUUGUGGUUGUGUGAGUCAUGGCUCUAGUCCACUGUGUGUUGACAACCUGUACUGCUAUGGGAUCCUAAGAGUUUAACAGAGCUUUAGGUUUCCAGUAAGCUCUCUUGGGCACAUUUAUUCAAAGGUAAUGGCCAACCAAGAGUCUCAAACCUAGGCUACAAUAUCCAGCCUGGGCCUGUCUAUCCCACACAGACAACAGCCCUGAAUGACUAACCCAGGCCUGAUAAUCCAACCAAGCGUCUCUAACAUAGGCUACAAUAUCAAUGAGCUUUGUUGAAUAAAACAGAAACAUACCAACCAGAAUAUAGUCAUGUCUUUAUUUUCACAUUUCAAUAUUAUAUCACUCUAUUUCACAACAGACAGUCAGUCCUAAGUGUAGUCAAUUUCCAGGAGAGUCCCCUACGCGAAGCAGGGCCGUCCUGAGCCUGGCCUACACAAACUCUGUCAAAGCUUGAAGUUGUUUCACUCAUUUCGAUCCCAGCCUGAAACCGAGAAGUGCCAGGGACUUCCUCUACAUGAACUUGGCGCCUCUCCAGCUCUCGAGAUUCAUUGUUGGUUAGUAAUAGAUAACAGAGGUUGGACAUAUCAAAUAGCGUGCAGUUUGGACGUAUCAGUCAUGAUUGGAUAGCUAUAUGAGACGCUGUUGGAUAGAUUAGCCAUGAUUGGAUAGCUAUAUGAGACGCUGUUGGAUAGAUUAGCCAUGAUUGGAUAGCUAUAUGAGACGCUGUUGGAUAGAUCAGCCAUGAUUGGAUAGCUAUAUGAGACGCUGUUGGAUAGAUCAGCCAUGAUUGGAUAGCUAUAUGAGACGCUGUUGGAUAGAUCAGCCAUGAUUGGAUAGCUAUAUGAGACGCUGUUGGAUAGAUCAGCCAUGAUUGGAUAGCUAUAUGAGACGCUGUUGGAUAGAGCAGAAUUAGGCCGAUACCCACUAAUUAUCAAAAUCCAGAAAAGAGCUGUUAAAUUCGACAACCACCUAAAAGGAAGCGAUUCCCAAACCUUCCAUAACAAAGCCAUCACCUACAGAGAGAUGAACCUGGAGAAGAGUCCCCUAAGCAAGCUGGUCCUGGGGCUCUGCUCACAAACACAAACACACCCCACAGAGCCCCAGGACAGCAGCACAAUUAGACCCAACCAAAUCAUGAAAAAACAAAAAAUAAUUACUUGACACAUUGGAAAGAAUUAACAAAAAAACAGAGCAAACUAGAAUGCUAUUUGGCCCUAAACAGAGACUACACAGUGGCAGAAUACCUGUCCACUGUGACUGACACGAAUUUAAGGAAAGCCUUGACUAUGUACAGACUCAGUGAGCAUAGCCUUGCUAUUGAGAAAGGCCGCCGUAGACAGACCUGGCUCUCUAGAGAAGACAGGUUAUGUGCACACUGCCCACAGAAUGAGGUGGAAACUGAGCUGCACUUCCUAACCUUCUGCCCAAUCUAUGACCAUAUUAGAGAUACAUAUUUCCCUCAGAUUACACAGAUCCACAAAGAAUUCGAAAACAAAUCCAAUUUUGAUAAACUCCCAUAUCUACUGGGUGAAAUCCCAGUGUGACAUCACAGCAGCAAGAUUUGUGACUUGUUGCCACAAGAAAAGGGCAACCAGUGAAGAACAAACACCAUUGUAAAUAUAACCCAUAUUUAUGCUUAUUUAUUUUCCCUUGUGUACUUUAACUAUUUGUACAUUGUUACAACACUGUAUAUAUGUAUAUAUAAUAUGACAUAAUAUAUAUGAUAAUGUUUACUGUUAAUUUACCCAAAGGCACAAUGUCCACAACCCAGGGAAUGUAGUAUAGGAGAUGGGGCGUAUUUUAAAAUCGAUACCCACACGGUGCCCAUGGGCAGUAGUGGGUAGACUGCUCGAACGCACACAGUGGCCUGUCUGUGGAACGUCGAAGCUGUGCGUUCUGAGGCAGGACGUUCCACUAGUGUCCACCGGGACUAACCUAACAGUUGAUUUGUUAUAUUGUAUUAAUUUGGAAAAGAUGGUGUUGUGGACCUCGUUUGUCAUUAAAAAAAAAAGACAUUGGUAGCAUUUGACAUUUGCUUGUGUGACCAUAAUUUCCUUUUAAUGUCAUUCAACAGCAUUAUAAACCAUAACCAUGUCUAUAGUGUUAGUGUAGUGACGCUAUUGACAGUGGAGCUGCACAUUCCACUUCCUAUGUAAAAGUCAUUAGCAUAGUGGUUAAUCUGUAGCUAACAGCCUCUCACCCAAGCCUUUACAAGUGUACCCAACCCGUCACAUUGAUCAAGCAUGGAAGCCAGUAUCGGCUCCGGUGGCUUCUGUCAAGCUCUGUGUGACUGAUGAUGCUCUCUUUAGGUCCGCCCCCAUCGUGACUCAGUCUCUGCAGAAGUAUAUGGGUCAUUGGCAAUAGGGCCCAAAGCGAUAUAUUAAUGACGACACUAAUGACACUCCAAAGCAGAAUAGAGUGUAUAAAUGGCACAUCUUAAAUCAGAGUCUUUCGAUACACUCAGAUAUUGUAAAACAGCAAAAGGGGGAAUGACAGUAGCGACGACUCAGACGUUGCCCUUUGUUAGUGGCAGCACAUGUAGAGAGCUGCAGUUGAACCCUGUUACAGCUGAAGGGGCCCAGUGGCUGUGUACGAGGCUGAAGCUCCCCAGUGGCUGUGUACGAGGCUGAAGGUGCCCAGUGGCUGUGUACGAGGCUGAAGCUGCCCAGUGGCUGUGUACGAGGCUGAAGGUGCUGUGUAAGAAGACGUCUCUAAGUCAUACUGCGUCUGGUGUGUGAGGGGCUCCUUGUAAGAAUGUGAAAAUAAAAGGGGAACUGUUUCUUCAGAGCGGUCAGUGAAGCACUACGCAAUCCAUUAUAUGGAUGAGGACAGUCUGGGAAACCUUUUUGAUAUGGUAAACUGCAAAGGGAACGAGAUUCAAGGUGGCGUUUGAUAACUUUUUUUUUUUCGAUUGGGACAGGUGCACGCUUCUCAGAGAUCACACGUGUCCCACAAUCGGCAGCCUUGAAAAGGGUCAUAUUGACAAUCCGACCCAUGAACCAGAUGGUUGGGGAUGAAGAUCUGGAACAUCAACCAG